rnacentral:rRNA from 1 species
UUAUAGUGGGGGAGUAGCCUUUCGAAAGGAAGAUUAAUACCGCAUAAGAUUGUAGUAUCGCAUGAUAUAGCAAUUAAAGGAAGCAAUCCGCUAUAAGAUGGACCCGCGUCGCAUUAGCUAGUUGGUGAGGUGAUGGCUCACCAAGGCGACGAUGCGUAGCCGACCUGAGAGGGUGAUCGGCCACAUUGGGACUGAGACACGGCCCAGACUCCUACGGGAGGCAGCAUG